UUCGUAUCGAGAUACCAGCCAGCUACACCAGGCCCAUUAGGAGAUGGUGCGAGCUAUGGCAGAUUGAGCUGGGCAUCAUAUGCCGCAGUUAUGCCCCCGUGAUACUCUUCGAUUGGCAUCACGUUCUACUGACUCAGAGAGACAUUUUCUAUACGCACUUAUCGAUAAAAUAAAUUAUAUUAUGAAUAUUUAAUUUACAUAGUAUUCUUUUAAUAUUUGUUAUUGGCAGGGUGUAUUCGAUAUCAUUGAUUUUGAGGAGGAU
rnacentral:lncRNA from 1 species